rnacentral:rRNA from 1 species
UACGUAGGGUGCGAGCGUUACUCGGAAUUACUGGGCGUAAAGCGUGCGUAGGCGGUUCGCUGUGUCCGAUGUGAAAGCCCCGGGCUUAACCUGGGAAUGGCAUUGGAAACUGGCGGGCUUGAGUGCGGCAGAGGGGGGUGGAAUUCCGCGUGUAGCAGUGAAAUGCGUAGAGAUGCGGAGGAACACCGAUGGCGAAGGCAGCCCUCUGGGUCGACACUGACGCUCAGGCACGAAAGCGUGGGGAGCAAACAGG